CAGUAGCCACGGGAAUACAGAGGGUGCGAGCGUUAAUCGGAUUUACUGGGCGUAAAGCGUGCGUAGGCGGCUUUUUAAGUCGGAUGUGAAAUCCCUGAGCUUAACUUAGGAAUUGCAUUCGAUACUGGGAAGCUAGAGUAUGGGAGAGGAUGGUAGAAUUCCAGGUGUAGCGGUGAAAUGCGUAGAGAUCUGGAGGAAUACCGAUGGCGAAGGCAGCCAUCUGGCCUAAUACUGACGCUGAGGUACGAAAGCAUGGGGAGCAAACAGGAUUAGAUACCCCGGUAGCCCUGUCUCUUAUACC
rnacentral:rRNA from 1 species